AGAGGCAUUUCACAGCGUAACA
rnacentral:miRNA from 1 species